CCUGUGAUCUUCCUGCAUUCAGCGUCAUUGCAUGUGUUUCGACCACCUACUCCCACCUGCCGACCACCUGUGGAGGGCUACCUGAGGAGUCCUGAUUUGUGGCAGAAGAUAAAUUGUGGUGAAAAUAUAAUCCUUGGAUCACACAGGCUGAUAUGCUUCUUCUGCGUAGGCUUCGCUGUCACUCAAUCUCUUACAAGAUAAGAAAGGAGCUGAUUCAGAGAGCAGAGAUGGGGAAAGAAGGUAGAUGCCAAGUCACCUGGGGAUCUCUGAGGAACCAGGAAGCAGACGCUGAGGAGACGAGGACUUUCCUCUAGAGCCCACAGGGAGAGGAAGCCUUCCCCUGGAGCCAGCGCUCUGAGUUCAGACUCCCGGUGUUUUCACCCUGAGUGAACACAUUUCUGAUUAAAGCCAUCCACUCGUGUUA